ACUCCUACGGGAGGCAGCAGUGGGGAAUAUUGCACAAUGGGGGAAACCCUGAUGCAGCCAUGCCGCGUGUGUGAAGAAGGCCUUCGGGUUGUAAAGCACUUUCAGUAGGGAGGAAGGUAGUGUAGUUAAUACCUGCAUUAUUUGACGUUACCUACAGAAGAAGCACCGGCUAACUCCGUGCCAGCAGCCGCGGUAAUACGGAGGGUGCGAGCGUUAAUCGGAAUUACUGGGCGUAAAGCGCAUGCAGGCGGCCUGUUAAGUCAGAUGUGAAAGCCCGGGGCUUAACCUCGGAAUUGCAUUUGAAACUGGCAGGCUAGAGUCUUGUAGAGGGGGGUAGAAUUUCAGGUGUAGCGGUGAAAUGCGUAGAGAUCUGAAGGAAUACCAGUGGCGAAGGCGGCCCCCUGGACAAAGACUGACGCUCAGAUGCGAAAGCGUGGGGAGCAAACAGGAUUAGAUACCCU
rnacentral:rRNA from 1 species